CACCACAACAGGUGGAGCCUGCGGUUUAAUCGGACUCAACGCCGGGAAACUCACCAGUUAAGACAGCUGAAUGAUAGUCGGGCUGAAGACUCUACUUGACUAGCUGAGGGGAGGUGCAUGGCCGUCGUCAGUUCGUACUGUGAAGCAUCCUGUUAAGUCAGGCAACGAGCGAGACCCACGCCAACAGUUGCCAGCUCGUCCUCCGGGAUGGUGGGGACACUGUUGGGACCGCCUCUGCUAAAGAGGAGGAAGGAAUGGGCAACGGUAGGUCAGCAUGCCCCGAAUUAACUGGGCUACACGCGGGCUACAAUGGGUGGGACAAUGGGUAUCGACACCGAAAGGUGAAGGCAAUCUCCUAAACCCAUCCGUAGUUCGGAUUGUGGGCUGCAACUCGCCCACAUGAAGCUGGAAUCUGUAGUAAUCGUGUCUCAAAAUGGCACGGUGAAUAUGUCCCUGCUCCUU
rnacentral:rRNA from 1 species